rnacentral:lncRNA from 1 species
GAAUCAACCAAGCACCUUCAAUAACCCGACCUGAAAUUUAGUCUAAGAGCGCACAAAACUCAUCAAGGUUUUGAUCGAAAUCAUACCUAAAAGAAACGGAUAAACUAACGUUAAACUUAACUUAACAACACUUACCUUCACCUAAUUCAACACUUGAUGGAACGAAAAAUGGGAGAACAACCAAAACUUCUAAAAGAUAGCAAUUGUCAAUGAUGUAAAAAUAAAAAAGAAUAAAAAUUGGAGAACCAAACAGAGCAAAAAUAAGAAACAAAG